ACCUUAUGAUAAAAUGAAUAUAUGUUAUUUAUCGAAUAAAUGUUAGUAAACGAUAUUUGUGUCUGAUAACUAAAACAACAAAUGGCAAGAUUGUAAAUUAAACAAAACUUAAGCCUAAUUUUUUAUUCUAUGUUUAUUCUAUCAGACCAUAGAUCUAGAUCUAAACAAAAACCAUUUCAUACAAAAAAAAACCCUCUCAUCUUCUUCAACCAUUUGGAUGAACACCAACACCUCAAACAUCGUCGAUGGCAUCCAUCCACCGCCACACCGCCGAUGACGGCCCAUCCUCCGCCUCGACCUCUGGUUACCACCAUAAUUUCCGAUUUUUGUCGUCGAUGGUGUGUCACCGUCAUAACUUCUACGACGACCGAACACCUCUAGCAAACAAACAACUCCAAUGAUGUACCACCUCCGAUUGUUGUAUCCGAUGGUUUGUUAGGAGAUUUAUGAAUUAGACGACUUUCAUUUACAUUUUGUGCUUAGAUUUGCUUCGAUUGUAGUGAUGUGUUCUUCGUUUCCGACACCUAAGAACACCUGAAAAAAUUGUCUUCCUCUUUUCUCUUUGAUCUCCGAUGCUCUAACACUGACACCCUCUUAAGGUCAGAUGUUUUUUUAUAUGCAAGUAAUAGUUGAGAUCGAGAUAAGCUCAUCUAUAGUUGUUUAUGAUUUUGAUUGCUCAAUAGAUUUGUAGAAACAGAUUUAAUUGAGAAUGUAGAGAGAGCGAAGUAGAUCUUGUAGUCAAUGAAUAGAUCUAUGUUGAAAGUCAAGGAAAAACAAGAGAAAAGCUUUGAUUUUGAUGGAGUAACGAAGCUUUGAUUAUUCUGGAGAUACUAAAAAAAAUUGAUGAGAUCUAAUUUUUGAUGGAUGUUGGCGAUGUGGUUGGUGGUAGCGAUGGUUGAGUAAGGAUAUGUUGCAUUUCUCACUCAUCUUCUUCGAUGAUUUCAGAUAAGUUAUCAUCUUUUAUGAUUCAUGUAUAUGUUAUUCCUUUGUUGUUUGCUUUUAAAAUAUGACAUAAUAUAUGUAUGUAUUAAAUUGUGAAUGAUAUAUGAGAUUAUACUUGUAAAUGAGCUUUGAAUGUAUUGUAAUAAAUUCUGAAUUUUUUGUAUUAA